rnacentral:misc_RNA from 1 species
GAUGAAGAACGUAGCGAAAUGCGAUAAGUAAUGUGAAUUGCAGAAUUCAGUGAAUCAUCGAGUCUUUGAACGCACAUUGCGCCCCCUGGUAUUCCGGGGGGCAUGCCUGUCCGAGCGUCAUUGCCGCCCUCAAGCACGGCUUGUGUGUUGGACCCCCGCCCCCCGGCUUCGGGGGGCGGGCCCGAAAGGCAGCGGCGGCACCGCGUCCGGUCCUCGAGCGUAUGGGGCUUCGUCACCCGCUCUGUAGGCCCGGCCGGCGCCCGCCGGCGACCCCAAUCAAUCUUUCCAGGUUGACCUCGGAUCAGGUAGGGAUACCCGCUGAACUUAAGCAUAUCAAUAAGCGGAGGA